AGUGCUUCUCAGCCCUUUUGGCUUAGAUCAAGUGUAGUAUCUGUUCUUAUCAGUUUAAUAUCUGAUACGUCCUCUGUAAGGGGACAGCAUAUUAAAUGGAUUUUUAGCACUGGGAGCUGAAAAAGGGGCUUGCUCCGUUCGCUCCACGCAUCGACCCGGUGUUGCAGCGCUGCCGGGAACGUUUUCUUUUUU